rnacentral:rRNA from 1 species
AUUGAACGCUGGCGGCAUGCCUUACACAUGCAAGUCGAACGGCAGCACGGGAGCAAUCCUGGUGGCGAGUGGCGAACGGGUGAGUAAUAUAUCGGAACGUGCCCGGUCGUGGGGGAUAACGUAGCGAAAGCUACGCUAAUACCGCAUACGAUCUACGGAUGAAAGCGGGGGAUCGCAAGACCUCGCGCGAUUGGAGCGGCCGAUAUCAGAUUAGGUAGUUGGUGAGGUAAAGGCUCACCAAGCCGACGAUCUGUAGCUGGUCUGAGAGGACGACCAGCCACACUGGGACUGAGACACGGCCCAGACUCCUACGGGGGGCAGCAGUGGGGAAUUUUGGACAAUGGGCGCAAGCCUGAUCCAGCAAUGCCGCGUGCAGGAGUGAAGGCC